rnacentral:rRNA from 1 species
CCGGGGAACUGAAACAUCUAAGUACCCGGAGGAAAGGAAAUCAACAGAUACUCCCCUAGUAGUGGCGAGCGAACGGGGGACCAGCCGAGCCGUGAAAAUGACCAGAAUGUGCUGGAAAGCACAGCCAUAGUGGGUGACAGCCCCGUAUGGGAAGUUUGAUCGGACGUAUUAAGUAGGGCGGGACACGUGAAAUCCUGUCUGAAGAUCGGGGGACCACCCUCGAAGGCUAAGUACUCCUUACUGACCGAUAGCGAACCAGUACCGUGAGGGAAAGGUGAAAAGCACCCCGACGAGGGGAGUGAAACAGUUUCUGAAACCGGACGCCUACAAGCAGUCGGAGCCUCCUUGAGAGGUGACGGCGUACCUUUUGUAUAAUGGGUCAACGACUUGGUCUAUCUAGCAAGCUUAAGCCGGUAGGUGUAGGCGCAGCGAAAGCGAGUCUUAAAUGGGCGACUUAGUUAGAUGGAUC